GCUAACCCUAAGCAUCUAUACGCUUGGUUGAGUUUAGUGUUGUAAGUUAAGUGAGCUAAAAUGUCAUUAAAUUAAUUAAAAAAAAUUAUAUUUUAUCCACACAUUUAUAUAAAUAAAGGCCAUUUUCAUGAUGAGUCUUCCAAAUAUAGCAUUGUAAGUUGAGGGAUGGUUAACUACUAAGAAUUCCACCAUUUCAAAUAUUGUUUUGUGAUGCCCAUCAUCCAGCAUAUCUAGCAGAACAACUGAUUCUUUUACCUAUAUACGUUGGUUAGUGAACUUAUUAGCAAAUCUAUGUGCCUUUUCAUACAAGGAUAGCAACUUAUCCAGCGGGUCAUUUAUCAACGGGUACCCUCAAGUAGUCAUGACCUACCACUGCAAUGAAUGUUUGAUUUGCCCAAUCAUUUGUUGCACCUUUAGAAUUCAUGGUUGCGGAGCUAAACCUACGAGCAAACUCCUUUAGAGGUUCGCCUUCUUUCUACUUGAUAGAGAAAAGGUGCGUCGAACUCUGUUUUAGUGUCUUGUUGACAAAAAAUCUACUCACGAAUAGAUUCGGUAACUGAUCAAAAGAAUGGAUGGAUCCCUUUGGUAGAGACAAAUACCAAGCUCUUGCAACAUCUUUUAGUGUCAUUGAAAAGGCACCACACUUCACUACAUCAAAGGGGUUUAUAUGUUCAUGUGAUUAUUGCAAUAUGUCAAGUGGUCUUUAGGGUCACCCUAUCCAUUAUAUAUCACCUUAGGUAGCUUGAUGCUGAGAUGUGCUGAUAUAAAAUUAAAUAAAGAUUAAAUCUAAAUUUUCCAAUGCAA